UACGUAGGGACCAAGCGUUGUUCGGAUUUACUGGGCGUAAAGGGCGCGUAGGCGGCAAUUCAAGUCAGUUGUGAAAUCUCCGAGCUUAACUCGGAACGGUCAACUGAUACUGUCUUGCUAGAGUACAGAAGGGCAAUCGGAAUUCUUGGUGUAGCGGUGAAAUGCGUAGAUAUCAAGAGGAACACCUGAGGUGAAGACGGGUUGCUGGGCUGAUACUGACGCUGAGGCGCGAAAGCUAGGGUAGCAAACGGG
rnacentral:rRNA from 1 species